rnacentral:rRNA from 1 species
GACAGAGGGUGCAAACGUUGUUCGGAAUUACUGGGCGUAAAGCGCGUGUAGGCUGCUUCGCAAGUCGGGUGUGAAAGCCCUGGGCUCAACCUAGGAAGUGCACUCGAAACUGCGGAGCUGGAGUCCUGGAGAGGAAGGCGGAAUUCUCGGUGUAGAGGUGAAAUUCGUAGAUAUCGGGAGGAACACCAGUGGCGAAGGCGGCGAUCUGGGGAAGAUACUGACGCUGAGGCGCGACAGCGUGGGGGAGCAAAACAGGG